ensembl:lncRNA
CUUUGACGAACAAAUAUGAUCGACUGUUUCUAGUAGAAUUCCAAAGUUGUCAUCUUGUACCCUGUCAGAGCCCUGUAUGCUUGCAGAGACCCCUACAGUCAUGUAAAAAGGAAUAUUAUGAGAAAUUAAUAAAUAUGAAUAAAAAUAAUAUUAAAGGGAUUUGGAAAACAUUAAAUACCAUCAUUAAAAAUGGUUCUAGGCAGUCAAAUUAUCCUUCGUAUUUCGCUAAUAAUGAUAGAAAUAUUAGUAACAUGAGUGAUGUGGUUAAUGAGUUCAAUAAAUUCUUUGUAAGUGUUGGGCCAGACUUGGCUGAUACAAUUCCUGAUAUAACAGAUUCUGCAGAGAAAGAAACUAAACUCAUUGACUGUAAUCCUCAUUAUAUAUUACAGUUUACUUUAUUUGCAGAUGAUACAAAUAUUUUUUGUGCUGGAGAGAAUUCACAGCAGCUUUUGGAAAUUGUCACACAAGAAAUGAUUAAACUGAAAACAUGGUUUGACAGGAACAAGUUAUCACUAAAUUUGAAAAAAAAAACUACAUUUAUGUUAUUUGGAAAUUGUAAAAAAGAUGCCGGAGCAAAAUUGUUAAUAAACAAUGUUGAAGUUACGGUGGCUGGGAAGUGCAAAUUGCAACAAAUUAAAAAACCACAACAAAUUAAAAACCCGCAACAAAUUAAAAAAACCCCACAACAAAUUACAAAAACCCGCAACAAAUUACAAAAACCCACAACAAAUUAAAAAACCUCACAACAAAUUACAAAAACCCACAACGAAUUACAAAAACCCGCAACAAAUUAAAAAAAACCUACAAGAAAUUGAAAGGGAUUGUCUGAAAUACCGGAAGUGACGCAACAAUUAGCCUAAUCCGGUUGUUCAGUGAUGACGCGACAGAUCCUACUUCCGGGUCUAAAGUAGUCUGCGUUUAAUAUGGCUUUUGUGUUGUUAACAUGUUUAAUGUUAUGUAUUUUCUUCUAUUUGAUCUCAAAAAGCUCCUAAAACAGUCAGUGAUCCCUGUUGACCUCCCUUGGCUUUUAUUACCACUAAUCAUUUAUUUAAGCUCAGUUUUUAAAACCUUAGGAUGUAACUACAGCCCAGCCCAUGCAGCAGUAUAUGAAUGACUAACCUCGUAUUGUGGAUGGAUUAUCUCAGUUGUUCUCCUGGCUGAAGUUUGGUCCUUUUACAGCAUCCUGCCAUGCGAUUACAUUUG